CAUAACAUGCGCAGAUAUCAACAAUCAUCUAGGUAUAAUAAACAUACAACAUAAUAGAACAGAAAAACAAAAAGAACGAACUCUUGAAGCGAAGGCGAAGAUGUCUCGAAGAACCUCGGGAGUCCGGUGAAAGCUUUGGCGGAGGUAGCGGCUUCAGGUAUUUAUCUCUUCUUUGUUUUUGCGUCUGUUCUUCUCCUUGCCUUAAUCUCUGUUCCUUCUUCUUGUUCGAUUUUCUUUCGUUUUGUUAGGGUUGCUAUUAAGGUGGUGGUUUCGUACAGAUGGUGGUUUUUAGCUCAAACUUGUUGAGAUUCAAUGUGAAAUCUCAACAAGCUUAGAAAUUUAGAGCUCUAAUUAAGUGUUUUGGACUCUUUUCUGCAGAGUAGCGGUAUCCUCUAGGGGUCCUCUCUUCCAAUGAUUGGAUGUCUCUUAUAUAGAGUGAAAAUGGGUAGUCCUUGAAUCAUGAGCUGGCAGAGGUGAAAGGAAUCAUUCUGUUAGAAUUGGAUUUCUCAGAG
rnacentral:lncRNA from 1 species